AGAGAUAAAGCUGAAUUUUAGCAGUUCAUUUACAUUGAAAUGGUUCUUGUGCAAAUCGAGAUAUCUUUA
rnacentral:tRNA from 1 species